GUUGGAGCCGUCCCGGCGGCCUCAACGCUGCGUAGGCCGGGGAUCGCUCCUCGCUCUCGCGGAACGUGGCCUCCUCAUGUGCUGACGGCUUGUAGUCGUUUUGGCGAGAAAUUUUUUGUAAAUGCGAUGAUAGUGACAUCUUCGAAGGUUACGCACAAACGGGGUCUUGGCACACGUUCCUGCUCCAGGAGGAUGGAAGGCUAAACUUUUGCUUCACCGUGGUGUGAUGCGCUCUGUGCGGGUGCUUGGCGGGGCUGGUCUUAUGCCUUCUCGCCUUUCCUCUUUCACCGCACCCCUCCUCUUUCUUUUCUCCUCCAAGGCUUUUGGAGAUGGUGCUCUUGACCAAGCUUUUGUCUCACUAGGUAUGGACAACCAGAAGGAUGAGAAAGGCAGGCUGCUCAGUGCAGCUUCUGCAGAGGACCUGAAAGUCCGAGGAAAAGAAAAAAGGAAAAGAAAACGUAGCAGAAGCAGAUCAUCAUCCGUUUCAUCCACAUCAUCUUCUAGCACUACAUCCACUUCUUCUUCCUCAUCGCAUUCGUCAUCAAGGUCGUCAUCUUCAAGUAGCAGAGAUUCUCCUAAAACUAAAUCAAAGAGAAGGAAAAAAGAAAAACACAACAAAAAGGUAAACAUUUUCUAGCAGAAAUAAGUAGUUAACAAACAGAAAAUAGCUCUUUGUACUUCAGUAGCCCUAAAUAUCACGGGAUGUUUAAUGCUUUUGUCUGUGGCUAUGUAAAUCUGAAGCAUGCUGUUAGGGUUAAAGUAAGUGAACUCUUAAGUUGACACACACCAGACUGUAUAUUAAAUGAGAAAUAAUUUAUGGUUCCUUUUGCCAAUAAUUGCUCAUCCAACUAGAAUUCAGCAUAGUCACUGACGAAAAUAAGUAGGAACCUUCAUAACUUUAUAGAAUUUCUGUCAGAAGAAACCAUUUAUAGCUGGUCAUAGAUUCUCAGUGUUGUAAUUUUCUUUUUUUCAGGUCCUAACUGCUGUUCAAUGAUUGUAUGUGUUAGGUGUACCUUAAAAGAGAGAAUUAAGGAUCAUACCAUUUCCAUUUCCAGAGAUCCAAAGGGUUGCUAACUUUGCUGAAUUACUUCUUGUGUAUUUCAUAUAGAACCAGCAGUGGUAAAGACAAGCAGCAGUGGCUCUGUUGGCUAGCCAGGGCACGGAUAGGCUGCUUGUGGAUUUUCUUUUUUUGUCUUUGCUAAUCUGUAAGUGCUACAGAAUAUGUCUUAUGCUUGCAGAAGAGAAAAAAAGAGAACAAAAUGAAGAAAAAGAAAGAAAAGAAGAAAAAGAAGGAAAAAACAGGACCUGUCCAGCUUUCAAAGUUCUUCAAAAACAAAAAGAAGAAUGAAAACUACAGCAUGAUAACUGGAAAGAAAAUUAAGAUGAAAAUAAAGAAAACUAAGAAGGAUAAAGAGAGAGACCGGAACCGUGCAGAGCUGCUUGAAUUUCUGAACUCUGCCUUAUAAUGGGAAGAGUGUGACCAAGGACUUGUAAAUACGCCAAGCCGGUGAUGAUUAUGCCUAGCAAAAAAGCUAAAGAAAACUCAGGGAAAAGGAUGCCGAGUUUGACAAGACCAGACUCCUGCUGAGACAAUCAGGAUAUCCUUUUUUAAUGGCAAAAUGAAGAUCAAACGAUAACUUGUUAACGAAGAUCUAUGUCCUUCUUUUGAGAUGCUAAGGUAACAGCCAGGCUGUGGUGUUUUAGAAGAUCCUAAGAGUGUGUCAUUGGCAAUGACAUGAAUUGACACGCUGAGGUCCAAUUCUAUCCUAACUGCAUGCAGAACACACUUUUAAUUUCAAAUGUCUUAAAGUUUCCAGUAGCUUAAAGAAAGCGGAUUAUUUGUAACUGUCUGUUAAAAGAUGAGGCAUUUCUAUGUGUAUAUUUUUUCCAGUAGUGGUUUUACUUGUCCUAAAGAGCAGGUUGACCUUUGUAAAUAGAACAUCCUUUUACAUAAAUGCUUUUUUGACAGUUCAUUCAUUAAUAUAUUAUUUUAUUUCAGA